rnacentral:rRNA from 1 species
UGGGGAAUAUUGCACAAUGGGCGCAAGCCUGAUGCAGCCAUGCCGCGUGCGGGAAGAAGGCCUUCGGGUUGUAAACCGCUUUUAGUCGGGAAGAGAAGGCACGGGUGAAUAGCCCGUGUUCUUGACGGUACCGGCGGAAUAAGCACCGGCUAACUACGUGCCAGCAGCCGCGGUAAUACGUAGGGUGCGAGCGUUAAUCGGAAUUACUGGGCGUAAAGCGUGCGCAGGCGGUUCGCUGUGUCCGAUGUGAAAGCCCCGGGCUCAACCUGGGAAUGGCAUGGGAAACUGGCGGGCUGGAGUGUGGCAGAGGGGGGUGGAAUUCCGCGUGUAGCAGUGAAAUGCGUAGAGAUGCGGAGGAACACCGAUGGCGAAGGCAGCCCCUGGGCCAACACUGACGCUCAGGCACGAAAGCGUGGGGAGCAAACA